rnacentral:rRNA from 1 species
CAACGCCGCGUGAAGGAUGAAGGCCCUCGGGUUGUAAACUUCUGUUGGAUGGGAAAAAAAUGCCGCAAGGUACUGAUGGUACCAUUCGAGUAAGCACCGGCUAACUACGUGCCAGCAGCCGCGGUAAUACGUAGGGUGCAAGCGUUGUUCGGAAUCACUGGGCGUAAAGAGAGCGUAGGCGGGAUUGUAAGUUAGGAGUUUAAUGCAUGGGCUUAACCCAUGAUCUGCUUUUAAUACUGCAGUUCUUGAGUAUGGGAGAGGGUGAUGGAAUUCCAGGUGUAGCGGUGGAAUGCGUAGAUAUCUGGAAGAACACCAGUAGCGAAGGCGGUCGCCUGGCCCAAUACUGACGCUGAGGCUCGAAAGCUAGGGGAGCAAACAGGAUUAGAUACCCUGGUAGUCCUAGCCGUAAACGAUGGACACUAGUUGCCGGAAGAGUCAAUCCUUCGGUGACGAAGCUAACGCAUUAAGUGUCCCGCCUGGGAAGUACGCUCGCAAGAGUG